AAGGAUUAAGCCAUGCAUGUCUAAGUAUAAACGAUUUAAUCGUGAAACCGCGAAUGGCUCAUUAUAACAGCUAUAAUUUACUUGAUCUUGACACAAUCCUACUUGGAUAACUGUGGUAAUUCUAGAGCUAAUACAUGCAUUAAAGCUCUGACCUCACGGGAAGAGUGCAUUUAUUAGAACAAAACCAAGCGGCUUCGGCUGUUUCUGGUUGACUCAUAGUAACUGAGCUGAUCGCAUGGUCUUGCACCGGCGACGUGUCUUUCAAGUAUCUGCCGUAUCAACUUUCGAUGGUAGUGUAUCUGACUACCAUGGUGAUCACGCGUAACGGAGAAUAAGGGUUCGGCUCCGGAGAGUUCGCCUGAGAAAUCGCGAACACAUCUAAGGAAGGCAGCAGGCGCGAAAAUUACCCACUCUCAGCACGAGGAGGUAGUGACGAAAAAUAACGAGACCGUUCUCUUA
rnacentral:rRNA from 1 species